GACGAACCGUGCGAACGUUGUUCGGAAUCACUGGGCAUAAAGGGCGCGUAGGCGGGCCUUAAAGUCCGAGGUGAAAUCCCCCAGCUCAACUGGGGAACUGCCUCGGAUACUGAAGGCCUCGAGUGAGGUAGGGGCGUGCGGAACUGAUGGUGGAGCGGUGAAAUGUGUUGAUAUCAUCAGGAACUCCGGUGGCGAAAGCGGCACGCUGGACCUCUACUGACGCUGAGGCGCGAAAGCCAGGGGAGCAAACGGG
rnacentral:rRNA from 1 species